GAUGAACGCUGGCGGCGUGCCUAAUACAUGCAAGUCGAACGAAGAUUGUAGCAAUACUUUCUUAGUGGCGAACGGGUGAGUAACGCGUUGGUGACCUGCCCCGAAGAGGGGGAUAACAGUUCGAAAGGACUGCUAAUACCCCAUGUGAUCUCUAGGAUUAGAUGCCUGUUGAUGAAAAGGGAUUUAUCUCGCUUCGGGAGGGACCUGCGUCCCAUCAGCUAGUUGGUAGGGUAAUGGCCUACCAAGGCGAAGACGGGUAGGGGGCCUGAGAGGGUGACCCCCCACACUGGGACUGUGACACGGCCCAGACUCCUACGGGAGGCAGCAGUGAGGAAUAUUGCACAAUGGGCGCAAGCCUGAUGCAGCAACGCCGCGUGAGGGACGAAGGCCUUCAGGUCGAAAACCUCUUUUCUGAGGGACGAGAAAGGACGGUACCUCAGGAAUAAGUCUCGGCUAACUACGUGCCAGCAGCCGCAGUAAUAC
rnacentral:rRNA from 1 species